rnacentral:ncRNA from 2 species
ACCUCGGGGUGCCCCAAGGGGGGCUGAGAUGCGCGGGAUGCGCGCGAACCCGUCGAACCUGAACCGGUUAGCACCGGCGGAGGGAAGGU